AAUAAAUAUAUUAUAUUUUGUACAAACUUUUUGGGUCAUUUUUAGAAAUCAAAAUUCUCCGUAAUAAAUUAUAUUUUUGGAAUCAUGGCUUUUGGAUUGUGUGGAGGUACACUGUUCCCAAAAUUUUUUCACGCACGAGUGUUGUCGUCUCCAUCGAAAAAAUUUAACUCAAUAUCGGAAAAGCGAGAUGAAGCACAAGAAGCAUUGGAUUUUGCUGAACCCAGAACAGUUUUACGUAAACUUCAGAAUGAUACGCAUAAAAUUCCACCGAUUACGCAACAAGUAACUCCAUUACAACGUUCAAUUGGUGUCGUUCCGCAUCCUAAGAUCGAAAAACGCUUACCGAGUCCCUACGGUGAUGGAUGCUCCUUAAGAUCAAAAGUGGAGAAGAUGUACGUGUAUCGUUAAAAUGAUGUUUGUCGCUAAUCCACUGUGUCGUCUCUAAAAUAUAUGUUCGUCAGCGUUAACAACCGUCAGCGUUUAAAAUUGGUUGUUUUUAAUACAGUGCAUGAAAUAAAUAUUGGAAAAUUAUAUAAAAUACGGCGAGAAUGAGCAUUUAUCAAACGUUCUCGAAAUGACGUGUGUCAGACUUGUGUCAGUUGGUGAAAGGAAACUUUAUAAACAUCCAACCAAAGUAUAGACCAAGCUCAUAUAUAAUUUCUACGCAGAUGACAAAGAGUCGAUUUAUAAAGUUGACACCAAAGAAUAAGAUCAAUUGAGAAAUGGUGUUGUAGUCCAAUGGUUAACAAUCCAAUGGUUAAAAAUGUUGAGAAUAAAACACAAUAAAGCGUAUGAUAGGUGUGUAUCCUUUAUGGAGUUGAAGUCUAUCUACUACGUAAAACCAUUCAUAACUAUAAGAGAAAAAACUUUCUCAAAUGAAGAAAGGAAAUCAACAACAGUGGUUCUUUCCUUAUUACCACAACUUCAGGAAGGUGCAUAUAAAAAUCCACCGAUUAGCAAUAUUUUACUAUGUUAUUAUAUUCUGUUGGUAUCAAUUCGCUUACUAAAAUCGAUUGACGAGUUCCAAGUCCAUAUAUUGAGGGAUGCUACUUGAGAGCAAAAGUAGAAAAGAUAAGUGUAUCAGCAAUAAGAAAGGAUAUAACUCAGUAAAUUCACUACGACGUUCCUUAUAAUACAUUCGUCAGAAUUUAAGCAAGUAACUAUCUUCCAUGUAGCCUGAUGUCAAAUCCCAUAAGCUAAGGAUUGAUUUUCUUCUGUUAAGAAUAUUGAUAUAUAAGUCUAAUAGAAUAAAAUAAGUCAAGCUUUAUUUUAUUCUCUUAAGUAUAUAUAUCAAUAAAUCUAAUAGUCUAAAACAAUUCUUUUAAAUUUCAUAACAAAGAGUGCAAUGAUAAAGUAAUGAAGUUACUGGCAGAACCGUCAGCGUCUAACAUCGAUUUCAAUAUAAUGCAAAAAAAGAAGAACCGAAGAAUUGUUAAAAUUCAGUGAAAAUCAGAAUUUAUCAAUCAGUCAAGAAAUAACGGGUGUUAAUGAAAAUUCAACCGGAGUAUUGACCAAAUUCUUGAAUGCUUUAUAUGCAGGCGAAAAGGACUAGAUUCAUAAAUUUGGAAACCAAAAUAAAUCCAAUCAUAAAGCAGUGCUCUAACAGUAGAAAAUGAAUGGAUUUUUAAAAUUGGAACUGAAAAACAUAUGAAAUCGGAAAGUAGUGCUCUAAGUGUAUGGUUACCUAACAAAAGUUGUUCAAAAAUAAAGCACCUUAAAGCAUUUAUGGCAGAGUUCUCGAUCUACAUCGUCCUCAGAAUUUAAGUCCAUCUAACUUUUUAAGAAGAAGAAAAGCAAACCAAUAACAGUAGUUUGUUUUUUUUACGUCAAUCUAAGCUUACGAAAAACAUAUUCAAACUGCAGUAUAUUAGAGGACUUAACACAACGACUUGAUGAAUCAUUCAUCAUCUGAUGUUAGGAUUCCAAUGAUCUAAUACUGCUGUCAAAUAAGAAAAAUUGGCUAUAAAACAAUACAUUUCGUUAACGGAGGAAAGAACUAACAUAUUAAGAACUGGUAUUUUAGAAAUACCUUAAUAAGUAGUAAAAUGCCAUGUAUUUCAAGAA